rnacentral:siRNA from 1 species
UUGUGUAUUUUGGUAUCUAAGCUU